UACGGAGGAUCCAAGCGUUAUCCGGAUUUAUUGGGUUUAAAGGGAGCGUAGGUUGACAUAUAAGUCAGCUGUGAAAGUUUACGGCUCAACCGUGGAAUUGCAGUUGAUACUGUAUGUCUUGAGUGUACAAGAGGUGGGCGGAAUUCGUGGUGUAGCGGUGAAAUGCUUAGAUAUCACGAAGAACUCCAGUUGCGAAGGCAGCUCACUGGAGUACAACUGACGCUGAGGCGCGAAAGUGUGGGUAUCAAACAGG
rnacentral:rRNA from 1 species